UCUCUCCGUGUCGCCCCCUCUCUCUCUCUCUCUCUGCUACCCCUUCCUUCCAUCUUUUCCCCUGCUCCUCUCGCUUUCUUCUCUCCCUACUACGCUCAUUCCUCUCUUUUUCUCUGGCUCGACUGAAUGCAGGCCGAAGUGGUUGUUCUGUUUAAAAUCCUAAUCUAACCUAGUGAGCCUCUGUCUGGUUUCUAAGAAACAAAGGAUUUUUUUUUUUUGAAGGGCAAUCAACAAGUCUCCCCUGGCUCACACUGAUUCGAAAUUUGUACGAAUGAAGCAAGGCUUUUUCACAUACAACUGUACCGGUAAAGAGAGGCUCUCCUGCGGCAGGUGCGGGUGCGCUCAAGUGCUAGUGCCCGUAUGCUUUGGUAGGUACGCGAUGCUGCCGUCCGCCCCUAAAAAGGCCUGGCAUCGUGGGAUUAGGGGCGAUCAAGCUUAAGCACCUUGUGUAGUUCCCCCUCGAGCGCAAAACGCAAGAGUCCCCUUUUGGUAUCAGAGCCUUAUAAGACUGCCGAUCCUCUCACUCUCCGAGCACCGGUAAAGAGAGGCUCUCCUGCGGCAGGUGCGGGUGCGCUCAAGUGCUAGUGCCCGUAUGCUUUGGCAUAUAAUUUGUCAAGGGACCACAAGCCUGACCUCGAGGCUGAGAAGGAUAGGAUUCUGAAGGCUGGUGGUUUUGUCCAAUAUGGACGGGUCAAUGGAAGUCUAAACUUGGCAAGAGCAAUUGGAGACAUGGAAUUGAAGCAGAACAAAUCACUGCCUGCUGAGAAGCAAAUUGUGACUGCCAAUCCUGAUGUAAAUACAGUGGAGCUUUGUGAUGACGAUGAAUUUCUCGUGAUAGCGUGUGAUGGUAUAUGAUAUGAAGGAGGAUGAGACUGAGGCUGAGGCUGAGGCUGGGUUGGAGUGCCUAUAUCAAUCUGCAAAGAAAGAGCUACAAGUGUACCUGAAUGUAGAUGGGCCAUUGAAAGACUCCAAUGAGAGUUCCACACAAAAUUAGCAAGACUGGCCAGCAGGUAUAGCUAUUCGGAUUGGUAAGGUCCUUGACGUGGUGAAGCGGUUGGAAAACACCCAAAGCUUGUAUGGACAAAAGGCGAGUCUAGAUGCUUGAGGAACUAAAAUUUGUGUAAGUGACAUUGAAUGAAUUGACAAAAAAAAAUGUAGAUACCCCUCACGAGGAUGGAGGACAAGGUAAGGAUGAGGAACAUGAAGAAGAGUUGGGAAAUGAUGAAGAUGAUGAUGAUGAGGGAGAUGAAGAAGAAUCGGGAACAUAAGAUGUUGAAGACAGAGAUGAAUUUUCUAAGGAGCCUUGACCUUGGCCUUUUCAUUGUUUAUCUAUGCUUAGACUAAACUGAUAGUUGAAUAUGUUGUGGGUUUUGUAGUUGUUCCAAUUUGUUUAUGAACACUUUUUGCUUACUUCUGGGAGUUUAGUAUGAUAUGUUUCGUGUAUACAAAAAUUCUUAUGGUUGGUGUUUGGUAAAUUUGACCUCACCAAGUGUGGCUUGAUAAGGUGUUGCUGAUCUUCGUCAAUGCUACCAAUCAGAUUAUGCCACUCAACAGCUUGCUAGAGAAACUAUUCAUACCAAAUAAUUUAAAGAAAAAUGCUUGAGACCUCGAA